UGUUGGAGAAGCUGAAUGGUAUGUCUGGCUGAGAGAGAUGAAGGGCAGCUCAAAACAUUAACAAAACUACAGGUUUACUUGGAAGUCAUUCUUCCUAAAGGCUGCAUGAAUGCUUUUAGAGCAACCAAGGAUGGAUGAAGCUAAGCAGUAUGAAACUGACCAUUUUCUGGACAGAAGACUAGGACAGAAGACUAGGAGCCAACAGCCAAAUAGCCCAAGAAAGAAUGAUUAUAUCCCUACAGCAGUCUUCAAAGUGCUGGAGUCACCGAGUGGAAUAGGAAAUGAACCGCAGUUCAGUGACCCUCUGUGGCCCAAACAGUGGGAGAUGCUAAGCACA